GGGUUCGGAAGCUCAACGGCAGAGCAGCGGACUCAUAAUCCGUUGGUUCUAGGUUCGAAUCCUAGUGGGCCCACCA
rnacentral:tRNA from 1 species